rfam:Toxocara canis scaffold634, whole genome shotgun sequence.
GAUCCUGUGUUCAGAGAGUAGAGCCUUCGCCUGGUGAGCGAGAGACCCGAGUUCAACUCCCGGCUGCUUCG